rnacentral:tRNA from 1 species
GCGCACGUGGUGAAAUUGGUAGACACGCCAUCUUGAGGGGGUGGUGGGCGAAAGCCCGUGGAAGUUCGAAUCUUCUCGUGCGCAC